GCGGGAGUGGUGAAAUUGGCAGACACGCAGGAUUUAGGUUCCUGUGCCUUCGGGCGUGAGGGUUCAAGUCCCUUCUUCCGCA
rnacentral:tRNA from 3 species